rnacentral:tRNA from 1 species
GGUCGGUUACCCGAGUGGUUUAAGGGAGUUCUCUGCAAAAGAAUUAUUCGCAAGUUCGAAUCUUGUACCGACCU